UUGUCCCGUCUUGAAACACGGACCAAGUAGUGCAACAUGCGCGCGAGUCUUUGGGUGAGACGAAAAGCCCUGUGGCGCAAUGAAAGUGAAGCGUCGGCUUGCCGACGCGAGGCGAGAGCCCUCUUCGCGGGGGCCCAUCGUCGACCGAUCCUAUUCACUUGUGAAGGGAUUCGAGUGAGAGCGUGCCUGUUGCGACCCGAAAGAUGGUGAACUAUGCCUGAGUAGGGUGAAGCCAGAGGAAACUCUGGUGGAAGCUCGUAGCGAUUCUGACGUGCAAAUCGAUCGUCAAACUUGGGUAUAGGGGCGAAAGACUAAUCGAACCAUCUAGUAGCUGGUUCCCUCCGAAA
rnacentral:rRNA from 1 species